rnacentral:rRNA from 1 species
GACGAACGCUGGCGGCGUGCCUAAUACAUGCAAGUCGAGCGAAGUUUUUCUGGUGCUUGCACCGGAAAAACUUAGCGGCGAACGGGUGAGUAACACGUAAAGAACCUGCCUCAUAGACUGGGACAACUAUUGGAAACGAUAGCUAAUACCGGAUAACAGCAUUAACUGCAUGGUUGAUGUUUAAAAGUUGGUUUUGCUAACACUAUGAGAUGGCUCUGCGGUGCAUAAGCUAGUUGGUGGGGUAAAGGCCUACCAAGGCGACGAUGCAUAGCCGACCUGAGAGGGUGAUCGGCCACACUGGGACUGAGACACGGCCCAGACUCCUACGGGAGGCAGCAGUAGGGAAUCUUCCGCAAUGGGCGAAAGCCUGACGGAGCAACGCCGCGUGAGUGAAGAAGGAUU